GCGUAAGCGCACGCAGGCGGUCUGUCAAGUCGGAUGUGAAAUCCCCCGGCUCAACCUGGGAACUGCAUUCGAAACUGGCAGGCUAGAGUCUUGUAGAGGGGGGUAGAAUUCCAGGUGUAGCGGUGAAAUGCGUAGAGAUCUGGAGGAACACCGGUGGCGAAGGCGGCCCCCUGGACAGAGACUGACGCUCAGGUGCGAAAGCGUGGGGAGCAAACAGGAUUAGAUACCCUGGUAGUCCACGCCGUAAACGAUGUCUACUUGGAGGUUGAGCCCUUGCGGCCUGUCCUCCGGAGCUAACGCGUUAAGUCACCCGCCCGGGGAGUACCGGCGCAAAGGCAAAACUCAAAUGAAUUGACGGGGGCCCCCACAAACGGUGGAGCAUGUGGGU
rnacentral:rRNA from 1 species